rnacentral:rRNA from 1 species
AAACCAACAGGGAUUACCUCAGUAACGGCGAGUGAAGCGGUAACAGCUCAAAUUUGAAAUCUGGGUCUUUCAGGCUCCGAGUUGUAAUUUGUAGAAGAUGCUUCGGGUGCGGCUCCGGUCUAAGUUCCUUGGAACAGGACGUCAUAGAGGGUGAGAAUCCCGUAUGUGAUCGGUUGCUUGCGCCCAUGUGAAGCUCUUUCGACGAGUCGAGUUGUUUGGGAAUGCAGCUCAAAAUGGGUGGUAAAUUUCAUCUAAAGCUAAAUAUUGGCCAGAGACCGAUAGCGCACAAGUAGAGUGAUCGAAAGAUGAAAAGCACUUUGGAAAGAGAGUUAAACAGUACGUGAAAUUGUUGAAAGGGAAGCGCUUGCAACCAGACUUGCGCGUUGCCGAUCAUCCGGGGUUCUCCCCGGUGCACUCGGCCUCGCUCAGGCCAGCAUCGGUUUUGGUGGUGGGAUAAAGGCCUUGGGAAUGUAGCUCCUUUCGGGGAGUGUUAUAGCCCUCGGUGCAAUGCCGCCUACCGGGACCGAGGACCGCGCUUCGGCUAGGAUGCUGGCGUAAUGGUUGUAAGCGAC